CCUACGGGUGGCAGCAGUGGGGAAUAUUGCACAAUGGGGGGAACCCUGAUGCAGCAACGCCGCGUGGGUGAAGAAGUACUUCGGUAUGUAAAGCCCUGUCAGCAGGGAAGAAAAUGACGGUACCUGAACAAGAAGCCCCGGCUAACUACGUGCCAGCAGCCGCGGUAACACGUAGGGGGCAAGCUUGAUCCGGAUUUACUGGGGGUAAAGGGAGCGUAGACGGCAAGGCAAGUCUGGUGUGAAAGGCCGUGGCUCAACCACAGGACGGCUUUGGAUACUGUGUGGCUGGAGUGCAGGAGGGGGAAGCGGAAUUCCUGGUGUAGCGGUGAAAUGCGUAGAUAUUAGGAGGAACACUGGUGGCGAAGGCGGCUUACUGGACUGUAACUGACGUUGAGGCUCGAAGGCGUGGGGAGCGAACAGGAUUAGAUACCCCAGUAGUC
rnacentral:rRNA from 1 species